GACGAACGCUGGCGGCGUGCUUAACACAUGCAAGUCGAACGGAAAGGCCCUGCUUUUGUGGGGUGCUCGAGUGGCGAACGGGUGAGUAACACGUGAGUAACCUGCCCUUGACUUUGGGAUAACUUCAGGAAACUGGGGCUAAUACCGGAUAGGAGCUCCUGCUGCAUGGUGGGGGUUGGAAAGUUUCGGCGGGUGGGGAUGGACUCGCGGCUUAUCAGCUUGUUGGUGGGGUAGUGGCUUACCAAGGCUUUGACGGGUAGCCGGCCUGAGAGGGUGACCGGCCACAUUGGGACUGGGAUACGGACCAGACUCCUACGGGAGGCAGCGGUGGGGAAUAUUGCAUGAUGGUCGGAAGCCUGAUGCAGCAACGCCGCGUGCGGGAUGACGGCCUUCGGGUUGUAAACCGCUUUCGCCUGUGACGAAGCGUGAGUGACGGUAAUGGGUAAAGAAGCACCGGCUAACUACGUG
rnacentral:rRNA from 1 species